rnacentral:rRNA from 1 species
AUUGAACGCUAGCGGGAUGCCUUACACAUGCAAGUCGAACGGAGUGGCGAACGGGUGCGUAAUGUAUCGGAACGUGCCCAGUCGCGGGGGAUAACUACGCGAAAGCGUAGCUAAUACCGCAUACUAUUGGAGCGGCCGAUAUCGGAUUAGCUAGUUGGUGGGGUAACGGAUCACAAAGGCGACGAUCCGUAGCUGGUUUGAGAGGACGACCAGCCACACUGGGACUGAGCAACGGCCCAGAACCCUACGGGAGGCAGCAGUGGGGAAUUUUGGACAAUGGGGGAAACCCUGAUCCAGCCAUCCGGCGUGUGCGAUGAAGGCCUUCGGGUUGUAAAGCACGUUUGGCAGGAAAGCGGUACCUGCAGAAUAGGCACCGGCUAACUACGUGCCAGCAGCCGCGGUAAUUC